CCUACGGGUGGCAGCAGUGAGGAAUAUUGGUCAAUGGCCGGAAGGCUGAACCAGCCAUGCCGCGUGAAGGUCAGUGCCCUAUGGGCGUUAAACUUCUUUUGUGCGGGAGCAAUAAUGGUCACGUGUGGCCAGACGAGAGUACCGUACGAAUAAGCAUCGGCUAACUCCGUGCCAGCAGCCGCGGUAAUACGGGGGAUGCAAGCGUUAUCCGGAUUUAUUGGGUUUAAAGGGUGCGUAGGCUGGGAGGUAAGUCAGCGGUGAAAUGCCCCCGCCCAACGGGGUGAAGUGCCAUUGAUACUGCCUGGCUGGAAUGCGGAUGCGGUGGGAGGAAUGUGUGGUGUAGCGGUGAAAUGCAUAGAUAUCACACAGAACACCGAUUGCGAAGGCAUCUCACGAAUCCGCGAUUGACGCUGAUGCACGAAAGCGUGGGUAUCAAACAGGAUUAGAUACCCGUGUAGUC
rnacentral:rRNA from 1 species